rnacentral:lncRNA from 10 species
GUAUAUAGUUCAAUAAUUUUUUUUUUUUUUUGAGACAGAGUCUCACCCUAUUACCCAGGCUGGAGUGCAAUGGCGCAGUCUCGGCUCACUGCAACCUCCGUCUCCUGGGUUCAAGUGAUUCUCCUGCCUCAGGCUCCCGAGUAGCUGGCAUUAGAGGCGCGCACCACUGCGCCUGGCUAAUUUUUUGUAUCUUUAGUAGAGACGGGGUUUCACUAUGUUGGCCAGGCUGGUCUCGAACUCCUGACUUCGUGAUCCGCCUGCCUCAGCCUCCCAAAGUGCUGGGAUUACAGGCAUAAGCCACUGCGCCCAGCCCUAAACAUUUGUAGAAUAAUAGUCCUAGUUUUACAGAUGAGGAAACAGGCAAUAAAGGGAAGUAACUACCCCAUGUCACACAGCCAGCAAGUGGCAGAGUUUGGGUUCAAACUCAGCCCAUCUGAUUUCUUUUUAGGACUGCAUUCUUUCUGUGAACUGGCUAUCCUCACACUUAGACCUGGCUGCCCAGGGCACAUCCUAUAGCCACUCCUCCCAGAGGCCCUGCCGUAUCCCUGGGGCACUGGGAGGACACAGAGCAUAGGUCCCAAUCCUCAGUGAACCCAUGAAUCUUCCCCCUCUUUCAGCUCAACCCCCAUUCUUUCCCCAAAUACUCCCCACUUCCAGAAUAUCUAAUAUUAUAUCCUCAAUUAGAUUAAACUCUUAUUUAUACCACGAAAAGAGUUUAUCUUUUAAGAAACCCCUCCUGAGACCAAGAAAUAGAAGGGCUACUUAGAAUGAGGAGGUGGGAUAUCUGGAAAACAAAGCAGAAGUAGCUCGGAGUGUCUCUCUGUGUGUGUGUGAGAGAGAGAGAGAGAGAGAGAGAGUGUGUGAGCAUGUGUGUGAGUAUGUGUGAGAGUGUGUGUGUCAGUGAGUGUGUGUGUGAGUGUGUGUGUGAGAGUGUGUGUGUGAUGAGCACUCCAGGCUCCCUUUCCCAAACCAGCUGAAAGAUCCCCUUUUUCUCUUCUUUAAAACAGUUCUGAAAUCUAGCCAUGCCACCAAUACCUGCAGAAACAUUCUGGAUGGAACAGGCUUGCCCAGACCCUCCUCUCCAGAAGCUGGGCCCUUUAUGUUCCAUCUCUGAGUGAGUGGCAGCAAGGACCAGUGCGAUCAAAAAGGAGAAAGUGGAAUGCGACAUCACCCCCAAGGAGAGGAAGACCAUGGGCCAAGAGCUUCAGGGUGACCCAGUCAUAGGCCCGGGAGAGACAGAUCUGCACUAGAUGCUGUGCAGAGCCCUGACACCCAGAGCAGAUGCUGCUGCUGCGAUGAGUCUGGGGAUCAGGUGUUCAGAACCGCUGCUCGAGUGGUCCACUGCCCAGUGGGAGGAAGUGCUCUGAGGUGUAGAUCUCCUGCGUGGAUCACAGCCAGCCAGGCUUGCAGCCUUCAGGAUGCCUCACUCUCCCUCCCACCUGCCGGGUCAGCCUAGGGGAGGGGCCAGGAUAACUCAAAGUUAACUCGUGAUAAAAUACCCCCUAUUCCUGAAUGGACCUGGGUCUGGGGCCCUGUCUAGGGAGCUCCUUUCAUUUUGAGUGUCCCCAUCCUGGGAUGACAAGGGCUUUCCUAUCUGAAAGAGGGCAGCUUCGCUUAUGCUGGUCUCCAACGUCAGGGAGGGUGUCUCUUUGGCCUUAGUGUUCCUGGUGCUAGCAAAAUGCUUGCCUCUGGGUCAGGGCCCAGUCAAUGUCCCACAAACUAAGAGCCUCAAUAUUUGUGCAAGAGCUAGUGAAAGAUAAUGACAGAAAGUGAUGGAAUGAGUUUUAAGCAUGUUCAGUCCAACAGUCACACUGACCGUUGUUUCUGAAAGCAAGCGAACCUCCUGAAGCUGAGCGACACUGAUUUUCUCCCCUGUGAAACUACAAGACUUCAUAAACGCGAAAGCGUCAGACGCCCGAGGGCUGCAGGAGCAAAAGUCAGCCAGCAGGGGGAGCUCUACCUUUGCACCUUGGCUCAGCCCCAAGGAGGGCAUCCCCAGUCCCUCUAAUAAAAAAUAAAAUAAAAUAAAAUAAAAUAAAAUAAAAGCAAACAACUCCUGUUAUACUGCAAGAUGCAGCGAAUCUUUUUAGAAACAAGAUGAGAUAAUAGGUAAAGAAUACACAAAAAAUUCCCAAGCUGAACGAAAUCCUUCUAUUUGUGCAGCAGUCAUAGACACAGCCUAGCGAGUCCACAGCUGACUGCUCCAGCAGAUAACGGCUCUCCCUUCCAGGAAGUAUCCCAGCUCAGAGACUCACCCAGUGUAGAAAAGGAAGUCAUUCCAGGGAUACAGAAAGAGCAGCAGAGGCUCCGAGAUAGAUAGAAGGUGUCUGGGGGGAAAGAGAGAGACUAGGAUGAUUGGAAAGGAGGAUUCUUCUCCCUGAUCCAUUCCUCGAGCUGUGAAGACAGACUGGGAGACAGUACUCAAGGCAGGGCCUGAGGACAGUCACCCUAGUUGUGAGGUCAUCUACCCUUGCAUACUCAGUGUUCCACUGGCAAUAGAUUUCUGCCCACCCUUCAAAAAUUAAGAAGAAGCAAAACUGGCACUGCUCCAAUCCCACCAUCCCAUCGGUAGGAGAGGCCUUCUGGCUGGGUCCCUAAGGAUGUCUCUGGGCUUGUACUGUUCCAUUUCCACACUCUCUCAAAGUUCCUCUAGUGAGCCUAGCGGUCACCAUCAGGCAUGAUGAGGAUGUAGGACAACUUCAAAGGGUGCAGCUGGCAAUCAGCCCACAGGGAGCAAGAGUAGACCUUCAUUAGCCACAUGUUCUGUCACCUGCACUGGCAACUUGACAGAGAAUUGAAAUCUUAGCAUCAUUAUAUGGCGCCUUUCUCUAAAGCACUUCCUCGAGCUUUCUACUACCCAUACUCCAAAACUGGUCCACUUCCUAUAUUGUCAAUCUGCUUGAGUUAGUGUCAUCAUUCACAAAGUCAUGGAAAAAGUCACUUUCUAGUUAUUUUUUCACUGUUUUGCUACUGUCCACAGUCACCCAGUCAAGAAAUCCUGAUCAUUCUGCCUCUUAAAUAAUGUGUCUUCUCUCCUUCAUGGUAUCUAGUCAGGACUCAUCUGGAGGACUACCAACCUCUGUCUUCUCUAGUUCCAUCCUCAACGCUGAUUCCAGAUCAUCUAAAAUUCAUGUCUGAUCAUGUAGUUGCCCUGCUCAAAAGCCAUUGUCAGUUCCCCAGUGCCUGCAGAGCAUAAGGCUGCAUUGCGUUCAGGAAUGGCAUAGGGUACAAAUAAAUAAAUGAGUGAAUUAAUAAAAACACACAGAUAGAAAAGAGGAAUUGAGAAUAAGAGAGUUUUUUUUAAAAAAAUUCCAGUCAUUUGAGAGAUCACCAUUGUGAUCCUGUAAGCCUUACCAUGCCCUCGAGUUGAAUUCUAAUCAACACAAGGGAAUAAAAAUUAUAUUCAUACAUUUUAUUCCACUAUUUACUUAGAAAACUUCAUGCCACCCCAGCCAGUUAUCCGUCUCAUUUCCCUUAUAGGUUCAAAAGCACUUUGUACUGCUUCCCUAAGAUUUGCACUAAUGAGAAAUGAGGUGCCACAUGGUCAGUCUCAUGCGGCAUACCAGAUUGUCCCCAGAGGUUCUUUCUGUAGUUAGCCGGGUGAACACGUUUAACACAUUUUCUUUUAGCCAGAAGUGGGGAAAUGUUUCCUCUCCGUAUACAUGACCUUGCCAUGUACUCACCUUAGAAAAAUAUCUUUUUCUGAAUGCACACAAUGUUUGGCUUCUUAUAAAACCGCAGCUCCUGCAAUUUCAUCCUUAAUAUCUGCAGCUUGAGGGUGGUAGGUCCUUGCCGUUGCACUUGACAGGAGCUGACAAGUAGACACUUGUGGAGUCCCUGAUGCUGUGACUGGCCUGUUUCGGGGAUGAGGCAAGGAGGAGCUCGUUUUGUAUUUAUGCACCCAGGCAACCUUUGUGUUUACUGUCUCUUUGGUCAGCUUCCAAACUAGCAGCACCGCACCCGUUAACACAGGCUCCACGGCCAGUUGCAGAUGGGCUGGCCUGCCAGCUGUGAGGAAUUGUUACUUUUAGCUUGAGCAAUUGGUGGUUUCAUGUGAGGAGCAGCUUUACAAUCACACAUCAGUUUCGCCUGACAAAAAUCCUUAAUGCUCACUGAGGUGGUGAAACCAAAAGGUGUGGCACGUACUACUGAUCAUACUGUCUGCUUUGAUCUUGAGAGAUGGCUGAAUAUUAUUUACUCAAUCCAUUUAAAUUUGUUGAGAUCCUGUGUGUUUGUCAUUGACCAACGCUUCAGGAACCCAAAGAUAAGGUAUGGUGAGCCACACAGGUGAUAGAUUUGUGAGCAGGUGAAUGAAAUACAGAGCUAGAAAUCCUGAUCAUUCUACCUCUUAAAUAAUGUGUGCAGAAAGAAAGCCAGCAGGCAGGAACAAAGUGCUCGGGGGAGACAGAGGAGGUGGAGUACAAUUGGGGAAGUUUUGUGGAUGUUUGGUAUUUGAGCUGUGUGUAAAAGGCAAGGAGGAACAUUUUAGGAAGAGCCCGUGCCAGAUACUGUUCUUGAUGCUUGAGCCCGUGCCAGAUACUGUUCUUGACUCAUUGAAUCCUCACAACAUCCCUGUGAGAAGUAAACUAUUAUGACACCCAUUUUACAGAUGAGGAAGCAGAGGCUUGUGGCAGUUAAGUCACUUCCCUAAGGUUACAUAGCUAGUAAGUGAAGAGGCUGGGUCUUGAGAUAUUUCCAGGUAUGUCAUAAACGCUCAGUAAAUGCUGUGAUGAAAAUGAUAAUCAUUGAAUCCAGGGGCAGCAGCCUCUAAAGCCCAUGCCCUCAACUACUGUGUCAUCAUGACUCCAACAGCAUGUCAGAGAAACCUAUGUGUGGGCCUUACCUGGGAUCACUAGAGGCGUGAGUCCUUUUGCAGGGCACUCUUACAGUCCUGAGUUAAAAUCGGGAGUCUUGUCUAAAUCAUGCAGCAGGCAGAGUUGGUCUUUGGCUCUCACUGGUCCCAGGAGUGACCCUGUCUCCCUCUUCUGCAUUCCUUUUCUUUCAGGCUGCUUCUCCUGCUCUUUCCUCGCUUUUAAAAAAAUCUAUUUCUUAGUAAAAAAUCAGACAUUUUAAGUCAGAAUCUUAGAACUUGAAAUAUGAAAAAAACAUGGAAAUCAUUUAGUUCAGCUCCUUGAUUUUGUAGAUGCAAAAACUGUAGCUAAGUUGAUCAAGAUGCUUUUUCUUGCAAGUGACAGAACCCAAUUUAAAUUAUCUCAAGUGAAAAAGGGAGAUACAUUAGCUUUGGGGGGUGAAAGCAGCAUCCAGGAUUCAGGAAAAUGUCACUAGUUUAUUUGCACUUUCUCUUUAAUCUCAAAUCUUUUAUCUCUGCUUCAGAAUAUGAUGGCCUCAAUUGUUCCUGGUGUACUUGAAAUUAAUUUCUUUCUUUUGUUUUCUUUUUCUUUUUUUUUAUGACACAGGGUCUUUCGCUGUCACCCAGGCUGGAGUGCAGUGGUGCGAUCUUGGCUCACUGCAACCUCCGCCUCCCGGAUUCCAGUGAUUCUCCCACCUCAGCCUCCUGAGUAGCUGGAACUGCUGGUCUGCGCCACUACGCCUGGCUAAUUUUUGUAUUUUUAAUAGAGAUGAGGUUUCACCAUGUUGGCCAGCCUGGUCUUGAAUUCCUAAUCUCAAGUGAUCCACUUACUCCAGCCUCCCAAAGUGCUGGGAUUACAGGUGUGAGCCACCUCGCCCGGCCCAAUUUCUUUAUAUGGUUCCUGAAAGAUAGGGCCAUGGGAAACCCCAAGCUUACAUCUGAUGUUAGUUAUUUCAGAUGAAAGAGAAAACGUCUCGCUCCCUGUUGCUAUAUAUCCCAGGGAAAGGCUCUGAUUGGCCAAGCUUGGGUCACAUGGCUCCAUCUUGGACCAAUCACUGUGGCUACAAGAUGUGCUAUGAUAAUCCACCAGACCUGGAUCUCAGGCCAUUUCAGUGUGGGAAUGGGGUGGGAGUGGCAGGUGUUACAGAGAGCAGCCCCACAAGAAUCAUAUGUGGUUUUACAGAAGAAGGAGGGUUGCUCUUAUCAGAAAGGCAAUGAGAUAGCCUUCUAAGGUGGUCUCCAGUGAUCACCACCACCUUCUGUUAUCAAGCCUGCAUGUAAUCUCCCUGUGAGUGUGGGAUGGUCCUAGUAAGUCACUUUUAAUGAGUAGAAUAUGAGGAAAGUGGUGGGAUAUCACUUCUGAGAUUAUUUUACAAAAGUUUGUGAUCUCUCUCUCUCUCCCCUUUGCUCACUCUGAGGAAGCCACCUCCCACAUUGUGAGCUGCCUUAUGGAAAGGCCCAUAUGGCAAGGAACUGAGGGUUGCCUCUGGCCAAAGCCAGCAAGAAACUGAGACCCUCAAUCCAAUAGUCCACAAGGAACUGAAUCUUGCCAAUAACCACUGAGCGAGCUUGGAAAUGGAUACUUCCCUAUCCGAACAUGGAGAUGAAGACAGCUCUGGCAAACACUGAUUGCAGUCUUGGGAGAGACCCUGAGCUGGGUGACUCCUUACCCAUAGAAACUGGGGGGAAAAAAAUCUAUGUUGCUUUAAGUUGCUAAACUUUAGGGUAAUUUGCUAUACAGUAGCAGAAAACGAAUACAGGGAGAAAGGACAUUGGACAGACAGAAAAAGUGAGCAGACAUCCACCACAGAACUUACUAGAACACACAAAUACCAUCAUUGUUUUGGCUGCCUGAAUGUCCUCAGACUUUUCCUUCCAGGUUUGUUUUCCUCUCUGCCUGGAUUAUCCUUUUUUUUCUUCACACUUUUAAUUUCUUCCCAUUCACCAUGCUUUCCUAGGAGCCAACAGGAGAGGGAAAAGUGCAGGGAAGGGAAACAUGGGAAGAAACUGGCAAUAAUGAGGGCCUACUAUGUGUCAAGCACAUUGCAGGCCAUUUUCCACUGCUGAUCUCACACAAUCAUUCCUCCCAAUCCUACAAGGCUGGUUUUGUUAGUUCUAUUCUGCAAAUAAGAAAAUAGAAGCUUGGAAAGUUGACAUCACUUGCUCAGGACUACUCAUCCAGGAAGUGGCAGCGCUGGGACACAAGCGAAGGACAUUCAUUCCACAGCAGCGUGCUGCCUCCUGGCAGGCAGUUAAUUGUUUUUAUCUGAUAAUAGGCCAGCUCGUUCCUGCUGGUGGGGUGUGAUGACUCCAACAUCAGGCCUUCACUCAGAAAGGGCUGACCUGUUGAUUGUAAUGCUUUCACCGAAUUACUCUGUUCUUUUAUUUCUGUGCCAACAGGUAAAUUUCUAACCAGACCUGCUGCCAGAUGAACAAGUCCCCUGGGAAGGAAUCCCUUCUUCAGUCUUCAAGUCAAACUGCUUCUGUGCUAACCAAAGGCUAAGCCUGCCAGGGAGGGGGCAGUGCCACCUGCUUCCAAAGGCGCUGUGACAGCUCUUGUUUAUUGAAGAGGGCUGCCCAUCCCAGUGAAGUAAGAUAACCAGGAAUUUUAUUUCUGAGAGAGAGUAUCCUGGGCCUCCACAUCAAGGAGCAGGAAAGCUCAGCCUUGGCUUCUUGAGCUAUAUCCCAGGGAGCUGUAUCAGCAAAUGGACAGGUGGAACUCUGAUGCCUUCACCAAGAUGGUUGAACAAGAGAACAAGAUAGAGUUCUCAUCAGCUGAACAAAAGAAAUCAUGACAGAGACUAGAAGAUGUAAAGGCCUAGUUUCGGAGACAGAGACAAGUAAUUUCCCUGAAAUGUUAUUUGUGCCAUGUGGGUCACAGCUGAACUGCUGAGGGAAGCAUUUUCAGAACAUCACAGAGGGAAGAGUCAUGGGUCUAAACCUUUUAAAGACUACAUUUUUUAAAGGUCAACUGCUUUUUCCCUGGAGGGGAUCCUUGUAAUAGGUACUAUAGAGAAGGAUAAUUAAUAAUCAUGAUGUUGAGAAAGUGGCCUGAAAAAGAAAAAAAAAAAACUUGGAACCAGCUUCUCAUCGAAGAUGUGCCUCUCUCCCUCCCUGCAUUGCUGUGAUCUAGGGUUGCAGUGAUGCCCAGUUUUCCAGACCCUAGCUCUCACAGUCCGGACCAACUUGCAGCUGCAUUUCAGUAUCAAUCCAAUUUACAGAGCUGGAAUUACGUUGUAGCGGGGCCCACUAACAUGAACAUACAUUGUAAAUUCUUUUUCCUCCUAUUUGUAUUUUCAAUAUUCUUUGUUAAUUGUGAUAAUCCCUUAUGACAAAUGUGUGAUGUAUUUGCGUACCUCAGAUUGAGCAUAUGUCUGGUAUGAAACAAGUUGCCCCACAAAAAAUUGGGGAGAGGCCGGGCAUGGUGGCUCAUGCUUGUAAUCCCAGCACUUUGGGAGGCUGAGGCAGGUGGAUCACUGAGUCCGGGAGACCAGCCUGGGCAACGUGGCAAGACCCCAUCUCUACAAAAAAAUGCAAUACUUAGCUGGGCAUGGUUAGGCACACCUGUGAUCCCAGAUACUCAGGAGGCUGAGGUGGGAGGAUCAUUUGAGCCCAGGAGGUCAAGUUUGCAGUGAGCUGUGAUUGUGCCACUGCAUUCCAGCCUGGCAACAGAAUGAAACCCUGUCUCAAAACAACACAACCACACACACACACACACACACACAAAAUUGGGGUAAGAACAAAAAAUUGGGGGAAGAAAUUGGACAUAUGAGUUUUGAAGGCAUAACAUCUGCCUUCUCAUUGCUGAGACAAGUCAUCUAUUUUUAACUUCCAUUUUCACGUUAAGGAUUUCUCCCAGGCUAUCCUUCAAUCUCUACCAUCUCUGAAUUCCAAAGUUUUCUGUCCUUGCUCCUUGGGGUGUUCCGCAGCCUCCUGUCAGACUCUCCAAGGCUCCUUGUCUGCUGGGACUGUGCAUGCCCCACCGAGGCCACAUCCUACCAAUAUUGCAGCUUGGCUCCAGAAUGGAUUAGAUAAUUUUUGCUAAGCUCCUGCAGCUAGGUGUGUUUUUGUGAGGCUCACCCUAUUCUCAGAGUUGUGAAUCAUGACAGCUGACCCUUACUGAGCACGCAUAUAUGCUAGGCACGUGCUAUGCUUUUUAUGUGCAUCAUCUUGGUUAAUCCUAAUAAGAAGCUCAUCCUUCUCAUCAGCUCUGCUUUACAGAUGGGACACUAAGGAACAGAGAGGUUAAAUGACAUGCACACAGUUACAAAUCUAGUGGUAGUGCUGGAAUUUGAACCCAGUCAACCUGACUCCAGAAUCUGUGUUCUUGAUCAUGAUGCUAUUGAUGGGUUCCAGCUUUUAGCCCAUUUCCUGCAGGGUCCUUUGAGUUGCAGUUAAUUGGGUCAGGUGCAGCUGUACCAUGAGAUAAGAUAGGUGUUCAAUAAAUUCCACCCUAGAAUCAUUUGUUGAACAUUUACUGGGUACAAGACACUGUGCUCACUUGUAAACCUGGGGUGUGGGUUUUGGUGUGGAGAUGAAACAUGCUAUUUAGUCACUGAAAUGAUCAAGAAGGAAAUCCUUUUGUUUGUAAGAAUAGUAGAUCUGACCUGAGACAAAAUUGUGAUCUUUCUGUGUCUCAUUGUCUGGCCUUUCUCAAACCCUGACCCUGUCCUUUCUUCAACUUAGGAAGCCUCUUCUGCUUUUCCACCCAGGAUCUUCUCUCCAUGUUUCUGAACCCAGCGCUGCACUCAGAAACAGGGCAGGUGCCUCUCCGUGCAUCUGAAGGCUUUACCUUCAGACCGUCCAGGUGUGCAUACUUCAAUGUUUAUUUAGUUGCCUGCCUCUGGGGAGCAUCCCAGCCUCACUGAGCUUAUACCUUGGGACACCUUGGAAGGUGAAGGCAGCCGAGUCCUUAUCGUAGAGUAAAAUAAGACAAGAACUCUAAAGUGAGGAAAGGCCCCAAACUAAGCAACAAAAGGUGUUGUUUUCUUGAAAAUGAUGACGGAAAUAUUACAAAUAUUGAUUGGUUGCAGAGGUAAUACAUUUGUCAAAGCUCAUCAAAUUGUGCUAAGGAAUACCUUUGCAUUUGUCUGUGUAUAAAUUUUACCUAAAUAAAAGCUUUUUUUUCCUAAGAAAUAAAAAUGCCAUAGUGCUAAAAGGACACUAGUAAGCAGAGAGCCGUUUCCAAGUACAUCAUCUAAGAGCCAUUUGUUCAACAAAUAUUUAUUGAGCACCUGAUAAGUACCAGGGACUGUCCUAGAAUCCAUCAGCAAUGAGACAAAGGUCCCUGUCUCCAUGGAGCUUACAUGCUAGCAGGGCCCUUGAAAGUGGCAGGCAGAGGCGGGCGCUUUGGCUGAUUGUUUGCCCUGAUUGCUGAUCUCAAGAGGAGCAACUGGAAGCUCUAGUCUCAGAGGGGCUCAGUGAUUCAUGGAAAAGGGAGUUUCCUGAAUGUCAGGUCUAGGGUUAGGCUGCAGCCCAUGCUGAGGUCUGAAGGGAGUGGGUGGAUGAAUGGCAGAUAGCUGAAAGAACACUUAAGGAGCUGUAGGUAGGUGAGAUACAGCUUUAUUCAGCAGCUCUCUCAUCAGCAGCUCUCUUACACGGUCUGCUCUGUCUCAGCUGCUUGAUCUGGCUGCUCCCAUGCACAGCUGCGCUGCUGGCUUUCCCUUCAGGGUCAGCAGCUUAACUCUUUCUCUGUCUGGGCAUGAGCGGGCCUAUACAGUGUCAGCAGGGCAAUUAUACCUUUUACAGACAAUAGUGGCUUAGAGCCAAAUGAUGAGCCUUCCCAUGCUAUGGCUACAUGGAUGUGAUGACAAGUGGAGUAAUACACCUAUGCUCUAAACUUGCUGAAUCACUCUCGGUGUUUACCUGGGGCUAUCGCUGACCGAAGCAUAGCCAUGUUCCUUACACUGAAAAAGCCUCUGAAUGCCUAGGGGAAAAAAGUCCUUACAUGCUUGGGGGCUAGAGCCGCACUUUCCGGUGAGGCCCAGAAGAGUCUGCAAAUCUUCCAGCCCCAUCCCCAGUGUCUCUUUGUGGCUUGAGAGGGUGGCUCACCCACCGCCUUACCAUAUGAUCCAUGCCCUCUCCCCCCUAGCAAGGCACCUCCACCAGGGGCCCGGCUUCCUUCAGGCACAUGUGCCCACAGGGCAUGGGCUCUGGCAGAGGCCAGCAAACCUGGAGGCUGGAAGCUCAUUUUCUGAGCUCCAGGAAGGGCGGGGAGGUGUGGGUUCUUUUUGAAACCAGACCUAUGUGCUUAGAAACACCACAGAAGGGCUGGGCAGAGCCACUGGGGGUUGGAUGGGGUUGCUGUGAAUCAUAGGAACUCUAGGCUAGAAGAAGCCAUCUGAGAGGGGAGGUAGGUUCUUUUGAAGUCUCAAAAUCUUUAUUUAAAACAGAAUCCAAGAACCUUUGAUCAUGCAGCAAAGUUUAUGACAUUAUAUACGUAAUAAAGGACAAUGAAGCAACAUAUAAUCCUUGUUAAUUAAAAUGGUCUAAAUUACAUGUAAUCUCUGAAUUUACAAAGAUAGCACAAUGUAUGCAAUAAAUCCUAUUUCACAGUCUUUUUUUAGUAACAACAAG